UUUCUAGUGGCGGACGGGUGAGUAACGCGUGGGUAACCUGCCUUAUACAGGGGGAUAACAACCAGAAAUGGUUGCUAAUACCGCAUAAGCGCACAGGACCGCAUGGUCCGGUGUGAAAAACUCCGGUGGUAUAAGAUGGACCCGCGUUGGAUUAGCUAGUUGGCAGGGCAACGGCCUACCAAGGCGACGAUCCAUAGCCGGCCUGAGAGGGUGAACGGCCACAUUGGGACUGAGACACGGCCCAGACUCCUACGGGAGGCAGCAUG
rnacentral:rRNA from 1 species